rnacentral:rRNA from 1 species
UGGGGGAAUUUUGGACAAUGGGGGCAACCCUGAUCCAGCAAUGCCGCGUGUGUGAAGAAGGCCUUCGGGUUGUAAAGCACUUUUGUCCGGAAAGAAAACGUCGUGGUUAAUACCCGUGGCGGCUGACGGUACCGGAAGAAUAAGCACCGGCUAACUACGUGCCAGCAGCCGCGGUAAUACGUAGGGUGCAAGCGUUAAUCGGAAUUACUGGGCGUAAAGCGUGCGCAGGCGGUCCGCUAAGACAGAUGUGAAAUCCCCGGGCUUAACCUGGGAACUGCAUUUGUGACUGGCGGGCUAGAGUAUGGCAGAGGGGGGUAGAAUUCCACGUGUAGCAGUGAAAUGCGUAGAGAUGUGGAGGAAUACCGAUGGCGAAGGCAGCCCCCUGGGCCAAUACUGACGCUCAUGCACGAAAGCGUGGGGAGCAAACAGGAUUAGAUACCUUGGUAGUCCACGCCCUAAACGAUGUCAACUAGUUGUCGGGUCUUCAUUGACUUGGUAACGUAGCUAACGCAGUGAAGUUGACCGCCUGGGGAGUACGGUCGCAAGAUUAAAACUUAAA